UGAGGUGAGGUGGCAGCAGGGUGAUGAGGUGGCGACGAACGGUCAGCCAGCGUUAGUUGCUGUCCGCCCUAACCUGAAGUGUGUUGUGAUGGAUCACUGGAUGUAAUAUUUAUUCAAGACUUUGGAUUAUUCUAUUAUGCUGUUUAUGAAUCCAACUACUCGUUCGGAAAGUUCAUGGAGGCAAUCCAUAUGCGGCUGGAGCUACCGUUGUCCAAACGCUUGUAAUAAAGAAGUUAUGGCAGUGUUCAAGCUGUGUUAAUGGAUGCCUCUAUACAUUUGGACAACGCUUUAGGAUGUCAGAAGUGGAUUCAGGGAAGAUGGAGGAACUCAAGAUACAACGAAGCACCACCAAGAGAAAGUUUACCAGGAAGAGCAACAUUUUCAAGGAAAGUGUACUGCAAGAGGAUCCUAUACCAGUGCUACAACACAAUUAUGAUGAGUUGUCCAGUUUCACCAGGAGACUCAGCAGAUUAGAAGAUACAAGACUGAGAAUAAAUACUAAACAGUGGCACUGAGUGUGUUGUGCUACUCGCCUCUUGGACGUGACUACAUGAGUGGGUGUCUGGACUAAGUCGGUAAAGAUUUUGUACUUUUGCCAACCUCCUUCGUUCGUGAUAUAAGAUACAUUGUUAUGUACUAGUUUAUAAUUAAAGCCGUGGCCAAUAAUCUAUCUGUCUGUCUGUCUAACAAUCUAUUUUAUUUGUUUGUCUAUGUCUGUCUAGCCGUCUAACUAUGUCUGUCUGUCUAUUUAUCUGUUUCUCUGUUUAGCCAUCUAUCCAUCAGUCAAUUUAUCUAUCUACCUGUCUAACCGUCCAUCCAUCUGUCUGUCUACUUAUACGUUUGUUUAGCCAUCUACUUAUCAGUUAAUCUAUCUAUCUGUCCAUCUAAUAAUAAUAAUAAUAAUAAUAAUAAUAAUUA